CCUACGGGUGGCAGCAGUGGGGAAUAUUGCUCAAUGGGGGCAACCCUGAUCCAGCGACGCCGCGUGGGUGAGGAAGUACUUCGGUAUGUAAAGCCCUAUCAGCAGGGAAGAAAAUGACGGUACCUGACUCAGAAGCCCCGGCUAACUACGUGCCAGCAGCCGCGGGAAGACGUAGGGGGCAAGCGUUAUCCGGAUUUACUGGGCGUAAAGGGAGGGUAGACGGCGUGCCCAGUCUGGUGUGAAAGGCCGGGGCCUAACCCCUGGACUGCAGUGGAAACUGGCAUGCUUGAGUGACGGAGGGGUAAGCGGAAUUCGUAGUGUAGCGGUGAAAUGCGUAGAUAUUAGGAAGAACACCGGUGGCGAAGGCAGCUUGCUGGACGGUAACUGACGUUGAGGCUCGAAAGCGUGGGUAGCAAACAGGAUUAGAUACCCUUGUAGUC
rnacentral:rRNA from 1 species